UGGAUCGAUAGUAAGCUCUGGUGGUAUACGAGUCAGACGCGAUGGCUGUGAGUAGAAUCUGAGGUCCAG